GACGAACGCUGGCGGCGUGCCUAAUACAUGCAAGUAGAACGCUGAAGGAGGAGCUUGCUUCGCUGGAUGAGUUGCGAACGGGUGAGUAACGCGUAGGUAACCUGCCUGGUAGCGGGGGAUAACUAUUAGAAACGAUAGCUAAUACCGCAUAAGAGUAGAUGUUGCAUGACAUUUGCUUAAAAGGUGCAAUUGCAUCACUACCAGAUGGACCUGCGUUGUAUUAGCUAGUUGGUGGGGUAACGGCGCACCAAGGCGACGAUACAUAGCCGACCUGGAAGGGGGGUCGACCACACUGGGAAUGGGACACGGCCCAGACUCCUUCGGGGGGCAGCAGUAGGGGAACUUCGGCAAUGGGCGGAAGUCUGACCGAGCAACGCCGCGUGAGUGAAGAAGGUUUUCGGAUCGUAAAGCUCUGUUGUAAGGGAAGAACGGGUGUGAGAGUGGAAAGUUCACACUGUGACGGUAUCUUACCAGAAAGGGACGGCUAACUACGUG
rnacentral:rRNA from 1 species